GAUGAACGCUGGCGGCGUGCUUAACACAUGCAAGUCGAACGAUGAAGCCCAGCUUUCUGGGUGGAUUAGUGGCGAACGGGUGAGUAACACGUGAGUAACCUGCCCUUAACUCUGGGAUAAGCCUGGGCAACUGGGUCUAAUACCGGAUAGGAGCGCCUACCGCAUGGUGGGUGUUGGAAAGAUUUAUCGGUUUUGGAUGGACUCGCGGCCUAUCAGCUUGUUGGUGAGGUAAUGGCUCACCAAGGCGACGACGGGUAGCCGGCCUGAGAGGGUGACCGGCCACACUGGGACUGAGACACGGCCCAGACUCCUACGGGAGGCAGCAGUGGGGAAUAUUGCACAAUGGGCGAAAGCCUGAUGCAGCGACGCCGCGUGAGGGAUGACGGCCUUCGGGUUGUAAACCUCUUUCAGUAGGGAAGAAGCGAAAGUGACGGUACCUGCAGAAGAAGCACCGGCUAACUACGUG
rnacentral:rRNA from 1 species